rnacentral:tRNA from 1 species
AAGAAAUUAGUUAAAUAAAUUAUAACCUUUGUUUGUCAUACAAAAAUUAUCCUUAAAGAUAUUUCUUA